GUAGGGAAUCUUCCACAAUGGACGAAAGUCUGAUGGAGCAACGCCGCGUGAGUGAAGAAGGUUCUCGGAUCGUAAAACUCUGUUGUGAGGGAAGAACAAGUACCGGAGUAACUGCCGGUACCUUGACGGUACCUCAUUAGAAAGCCACGGCUAACUACGUGCCAGCAGCCGCGGUAAUACGUAGGUGGCAAGCGUUGUCCGGAAUCAUUGGGCGUAAAGCGCGCGCAGGCGGUCCCUUAAGUCUGAUGUGAAAGCCCACGGCUCAACCGUGGAGGGUCAUUGGAAACUGGGGGACUUGAGUGCAGAAGAGGAAAGCGGAAUUCCAAGUGUAGCGGUGAAAUGCAUAGAGAUUUGGAGGAACACCAGUGGCGAAGGCGGCUUUCUGGUCUGUAACUGACGCUGAGGCGCGAAAGCGUGGGGAGCAAACAGGAUUAGAUACCCGGGUAGUCC
rnacentral:rRNA from 1 species